ACACGUGCGACAGCCGUGAUGAAGUUCGCUUACCGGUUUUCAAAUUUGCUGGGUACGGUGUACCGGCGUGGGAACCUAAAUUUUACCUGCAAUGGAAAUUCAGUUAUCAGUCCCGUGGGCAAUAGAGUCACUGUAUUUGACCUUAAAAACAACAAAUCUGACACGCUGCCCCUGGCCACUCGGUACAACGUCAAGUGCGUGGGGCUGUCCCCGGAUGGCCGCCUCGCUAUCAUCGUCGAUGAAGGGGGCGAUGCGCUGCUGGUCAGCCUGGUCUGCAGGUCUGUGCUGCACCACUUCCACUUCAAGGGCUCUGUGCACAGUGUGUCCUUCUCCCCUGAUGGCAGGAAGUUUGUUGUCACAAAGGGUAACAUUGCCCAGAUGUAUCAUGCCCCUGGGAAGAAGCGGGAGUUCAACGCCUUCGUUCUGGACAAGACCUAUUUUGGGCCCUACGAUGAGACCACCUGCAUCGACUGGACGGAUGACUCCAGGUGCUUUGUGGUUGGGAGCAAAGACAUGUCCACCUGGGUGUUCGGAGCCGAGCGCUGGGACAACCUCAUCUACUAUGCACUGGGGGGACAUAAGGAUGCCAUCGUGGCCUGCUUCUUUGAAUCCAACAGCCUGGACCUGUACUCACUCAGCCAGGACGGAGUGCUGUGCAUGUGGCAGUGUGACACGCCCCCCGAGGGCUUGCGGCUGAAGCCCCCUGCGGGCUGGAAAGCAGACCUGUUGCAGCGGGAGGAGGAAGAGGAGGAGGAGGAGGACCAGGAGGGCGACAGAGAGACCACCAUCCGGGGAAAAGCCACUCCGGCCGAGGAGGAGAAGACAGGAAAAGUGAAGUACUCACGGCUGGCCAAGUACUUCUUCAAUAAAGAAGGGGAUUUUAACAACCUGACAGCUGCAGCAUUUCAUAAGAAGUCUCACCUCUUGGUCACUGGCUUUGCUUCUGGAAUCUUCCAUCUUCAUGAGCUGCCAGAGUUUAACCUCAUCCACUCCCUGAGCAUCUCAGAUCAGAGCAUCGCCUCAGUGGCCAUCAAUAGCUCGGGGGACUGGAUUGCUUUUGGCUGUUCAGGCCUGGGCCAGCUGCUGGUGUGGGAGUGGCAGAGUGAGUCCUACGUGCUCAAGCAGCAGGGCCACUUCAACAGCAUGGUGGCCCUGGCCUACUCGCCCGACGGACAGUACAUCGUGACUGGCGGGGACGACGGCAAGGUCAAGGUGUGGAACACCCUCAGCGGCUUCUGCUUCGUCACUUUUACGGAGCACUCCAGCGGGGUGACCGGUGUGACCUUUACUGCCACCGGCUACGUUGUGGUGACCUCAUCCAUGGACGGGACCGUGCGAGCCUUUGACCUUCACAGGUACCGAAACUUCCGCACCUUCACCUCUCCACGCCCCACCCAGUUCUCCUGUGUGGCGGUGGAUGCGAGCGGUGAGAUCGUCUCUGCAGGGGCGCAGGACUCCUUUGAGAUUUUCGUGUGGUCCAUGCAGACAGGCAGGCUCCUUGAUGUUUUGUCUGGACACGAAGGGCCCAUCAGUGGUCUGUGUUUUAACCCAAUGAAGUCCGUCCUGGCCAGUGCCUCCUGGGACAAGACGGUGCGCCUAUGGGACAUGUUUGACAGCUGGAGGACCAAGGAGACGCUGGCCCUGACCUCUGAUGCUCUGGCUGUGACUUUUCGCCCUGAUGGUGCGGAGCUGGCUGUGGCCACACUGAACUCACAGAUCACCUUCUGGGACCCUGAGAACGCGGUGCAGACGGGCUCCAUUGAGGGCAGGCAUGACCUCAAGACUGGCAGGAAGGAGCUGGACAAGAUUACAGCCAAGCACGCGGCCAAGGGGAAGGCCUUCACCGCCCUGUGCUACUCUGCAGACGGCCACAGCAUCCUGGCGGGAGGCAUGUCCAAGUUCGUGUGCAUCUACCACGUCCGUGAGCAGAUUCUCAUGAAGAGGUUCGAGAUCUCUUGCAACCUGUCUCUGGACGCCAUGGAGGAAUUUUUGAACCGAAGAAAAAUGACAGAGUUUGGCAACCUGGCACUAAUUGAUCAGGAUGCUGGGCAGGAGGAUGGAGUCGCGAUACCACUGCCAGGCGUCAGGAAAGGUGACAUGAGUUCUCGGCACUUCAAACCUGAGAUCAGGGUGACCUCACUCCGCUUCUCUCCCACUGUGAUCCGUGCAGCACUGAGUAGGUGCAGCAGAGACCACAGGGCCUGCGGAGCUGAAGACGCCUGAGCUAGACAGAAGACUUGGCUGGCUCCCGGCGUCAAGAGAGGACGACGCAUGCGUGGCGCUGCUGGGCGGCCACCACCACGGAGGGACUCCUCAUCUACUCCCUGGACACCCGCGUGCUCUUUGACCCGUUUGAGCUGGACACCAGCGUCACCCCCGGGAGGGUGCGCGAGGCACUGCGCCAGCAGGACUUCACCAGGGCCAUCCUCAUGGCCCUCCGGCUCAACGAGAGCAAACUGGUGCAGGAGGCCCUGGAGGCGGUGCCCAGGGGCGAGAUUGAAGUGGUCACCUCCUCCCUUCCUGAACUGUAUGUGGAGAAAGUGCUGGAGUUUUUAGCUUCCUCCUUUGAAGUGUCUCGCCACCUGGAAUUCUACCUCCUCUGGACUCACAAACUGCUCAUGUUGCACGGACAGAAGCUGAAGUCCAGAGCCGGGACGCUGCUGCCUGUCAUUCAGUUCCUCCAGAAGAGCAUCCAGCGGCACCUGGACGACCUGUCGAAACUCUGUAGCUGGAACCACUAUAACAUGCAGUACGCACUAGCAGUUUCCAAGCAGCGGGGCACAAAACGCUCCCUAGACCCGCUGGGAAGUGAGGAGGAGGCAGAAGCAUCUGAAGAUGACAGCCUGCAUCUGCUUGGAGGAGGAGGCAGAGACUCAGAAGAAGAGAUGCUGGCCUAGAGCCAGCCGGUUGCAGCGUUGGAUUGUGCCGGCUAAGACCUGCCAGGGAGAUGGGACCCUUGUGCCACCUGGGCCAGCAAAGAGGAGGGGUCCAGAGAACAGCUGAAAUACUGUCACUAGUGGUAGUGACUUGCUUUUCCUGUGCACACAUGUAGCCCAUCAGGACAGCGAGCCGACGGGUCACGCCAGGGGCCGGCACGCACUGGCACCUGGCCCCAGGAGCGGGGCCGUGUGAACGGUGAUGAAUGUUGAAAAUGCGUCUCAGAGAGGUAUUCACAUGAACUUUGUAUGAGACUUAUUUAUAUUUUUAACAUAAAGGUUUGAUAAAGAACUUAGGGAUUAAAAAAAAGAUGGAGUUUUCUAACGUGAGGAUGAAGUCUACACUUCAGAUUAAAAAGGGUUAUGUUGUA